AGUGAACGCUGGCGGUAGGCCUAACACAUGCAAGUCGAACGGCAGCACAGUAAGAGCUUGCUCUUACGGUUGGCGAGUGGCGGACGGGUGAGGAAUACAUCGGAAUCUACUUUUUCGUGGGGGAUAACGUAGGGAAACUUACGCUACUACCUCAUACGACCUACGGGUGAAAGCAGGGGAUCUUCGGACCUUGCGCGAUUGAAUGAGCCGAUGUCGGAUUAGCUAGUUGGCGGGGUAAAGGCCCACCAAGGCGACGAUCCGUAGCUGGUCUGAGAGGAUGAUCAGCCACACUGGAACUGAGACACGGUCCAGACUCCUACGGGAGGCAGCAGUGGGGAAUAUUGGACAAUGGGCGCAAGCCUGAUCCAGCCAUACCGCGUGGGUGAAGAAGGCCUUCGGGUUGUAAAGCCCCUUUGUUGGGAAAGAAAAGCAGCAGGUUAAAACCCCGAUGUUCUGACGGUACCCAAAGAAUAAGCACCGGCUAACUUCGUG
rnacentral:rRNA from 1 species